CUUACCAGCAUCACCAUCCUGUUCCUGGUUCUCUUUGUUUUACCACGUGGCCAUCAGGCACGAGGCAGACACACCCAUUGCCAUCAGAAAUCUGCAGAGAGAGCACAGACUAUGGUUGUGCUACAUUGCUACAUGUCUUAUUUCCAUUACAAACAAAACAUCCAGAUUCUCUUUGCUGAGCUGCCACGCAGUGGAAACAUUAAUUUUUGGAGAUGUGAAGGUCUUCUGUCACUGGAACGAUUGCUUUCAGCUGCUCUACACUGCAGAAGAGGAUCCUGCUGACCUUCAGUCUGAGAAAGGGCAAUUCCAACAACACCUGAAAUAAACCCUAUGAAAUAUGCCAGCCAGAACUAUUCAAUACUUGUAUGUCUUGAUACCUUCCCCUUCUUUUAGCAACUUUAUUUAUCCUCCUCCUCUGCAGACCUACAGAGCUUCUUGGACUGAAAGUUAUGCACCAAUGUACUCCAGAAAAUUUAUCUGGCACUCACACCAGUCAAGCCCUGUAAUUUACAUGUUGAGAUUACAAAAAUAAACAUGAAGAUCAGGGCACAGGUGUUUCUGAAGGUCAAACAUAAUGUAAAAAUAAGCUUCAAAAAAGAAUGAGAAUGAUUAAGUUUGUACUUCUUUUUGCAUAGUUACUAUACACAACUACUAAAGGUUCGGUCCACACAUUUGGUUGCUUCUGCUACCUGUUUAUGCUACUCCUGUCAAGGUAGUGUGAGAGAACUCGCAUGUGAACAUUCAGUGCCUUAACUAAGCUGUGAUAAUAGCACAGAAACAUGUCUUUACUUGUAAAAGCUCAGCUUCAUUUCAGAUAACAGGGCAACAGGCAUUUGCCAGGUGUUUGAUUUGGAAUGAUGUAACCCAGAUGAUUAUUUACUUAAAUAUACAUUAAAUUCUGCAUUAAGAUGGA